rnacentral:snoRNA from 2 species
AUACCAUGGUGAGGACACUUAUUGAGAAGUGCCUUGAAGCGGUCCCAUGUCUCAUAGAAGGACUCCCAGGCUGCUCGGUGAAAGCAUAGAUCAUGUUCCUAAGGCG